rnacentral:lncRNA from 1 species
UUACUCAAGAGUUCAGAUUGAAAUGCUACUUAGAGCUUAAAGACAAAUAAUAGAGACUACUACUAAUUGCAGAGUUCCAGAAAGCAAUGAGUUACACUGAGUGUGACACUGAGCAGGUUGGGCUCGAUGUCUGUGUGCGCUGGAGUUGCAUCUGCUUUGAGAUGGGGAACUGGAAGGAGAGGAAUACUAGAGAACCUGAGCAGAGCCAGGCCUCCUCUGACAACCACCUUAGGCAACAAUAAACAUGAUUUAUAUGCACUGUGUUUAAUUUCCUGCAGUGUUCUGAUCUUGCAUUGGUGCAAGGGAAAAGUCAAUGAAGAUGGAUGGUGAACAGAAUGCUAACUGGGAGGCGAGCAGUAAAUGUGGCCAGAAAUGGGAGGAGAUCAUAUUGCAGAGAUAAGUAACACUUCUGCAUUUCUAAAGCUGACGCUAUUUAGGGUGUAUUAACAGAAAAGGUAUAAUAUGACUGAUAAGGCAGAAAGAUAGAGUUGUCUGUAGCCACAAAAAAAUACCAGCUUAAAUCCUCUUGUGCAGAUGAGUCAUAAUGCAGUGGAGCCAGGAGCUGGACUCAGUAAUCACUGUGAGUCUUCCAAAAUGGGAAACACCAUGGUUCUAUGAUUCCAUGACUCCAUUUCCUAUGUCAGAUGGGUGGAUCGCUGUAGCUACCUGUACACUGGCCUCAGGUUCCAUGGGAAAUCAUUUGCAAAAAGUUAAUUCAAUCUUUUAAAGUCCAGAUUGCAUUUUCCUAGUGGAAAAUUACUACGGGCUCUUUUCUGGUUCCUUAAUUUUAGAUGCAUUGUUGGGACUUUCUGUUUUCGGACAACACUGAAAUUGGCUCUGGAAGGCCCCUGCUUUCUUUUAUUGGCUUUGAUAGUAUCCUCCAUACAAUUGUGCUCCAGUUCCUGUUGAAGGGGUGCUAUUUAACUGCACACUAUUUAUCUUUCUACUAGGGACAAUGAAGUCUCCAGCUUCUGACAGCACCAUGACCUUCCUGCCUCCAUGCAGACCCCAGAGACAACCCUGAGGCACAAAAGAGGCUCCACUGGCUGCCCGUGAGAACUGGAGUGAAGAAAGAUGCCAGAGGAGCUGCUUGAAAUGGCAGUGAGCACAGGGGGCUGCUACCACGAAAACAUCUCAGUGUGAAAGUGCAAAUCUAUAUUGACUUUGUUCCUCAUAAGGUUACUUACCAUGGCUCAAGAAGCCAAGAGCAUUGAUUUCAAACACAGGCAGAGGAAAUUUCAAGGCAAAGGAACUGCGUUGUGGAAAUGUUGUGUAUUUCUGUAGAAAAAAAGCCUGUGAGAGAAAGGAAACCAGCAUCUCUUUCCAAGGAGCAGCUAUUUGCUGGGCAGUUGCAGCUGCUGGAGGGGAAUAUCCCAAGAAGCCCAGCUUUGUCUCUGUUGUUUUUGGAGUAAGAAAAAGGUCACAUUCUAUAGGACAACAAUAGUCUUUGUGAGCAGAUGCUGCUUUAUGGAUCUUUUUGUGGUCUUCAUUGUGAAUUACGCUACUUUUUUUUUGUCCAGGGAAAUGCGCUCCUAUAGUUACAGUUGGGUUCUGUUCUUCUCCCUCUUCCCUUCCCAAUGAAUAUAGAGAUCCUUAACCUACUUUCAGUUAUUAUACAGCUCAGAGCCUGUGCCUGCUCCCUCAAAGGACAACUGGAAGGCUGCCAUUGACUUCAAUAACAGCAUGGGCAGCCUCCUUGUUAGUUAACAUUUGUAAAGUGCUUGGAGGUGCUUAGGCAACAGAUGUUACAUAAAUGUGAUUAAUUUUAUAACUUCACUAUCAUGUCUGCAAUGCUACACUGCAACUUUGUCAGCAGGCAUAUUAACUCAUGUUGAAGUGCUGUAUGCAGGAUUAAGGUUUAGUUAAGCAAAAAUAAACAGUCUCACCAAAUUCA